AUUGAACGCUGGCGGCAUGCUUUACACAUGCAAGUCGGACGGCAGCGGGGUAGUGCUUGCACUACUGCCGGCGAGUGGCGAACGGGUGAGUAAUAUAUUGGAACGUACCGAGUAAUGGGGGAUAACCAAUCGAAAGAUUGGCUAAUACCGCAUACGCUCUGAGGCGGAAAGCAGGGGACCUUCGGGCCUUGCGUUAUUCGAGCGGCCAAUAUCUGAUUAGCUAGUUGGUGGGGUAAGGGCCUACCAAGGCGACGAUCAGUAGCGGGUCUGAGAGGAUGAUCCGCCACACUGGAACUGAGACACGGCCCAGACUCCUACGGGAGGCAGCAGUGGGGAAUUUUGGACAAUGGGCGCAAGCCUGAUCCAGCCAUGCCGCGUGUGUGAAGAAGGCCUUCGGGUUGUAAAGGACUUUUGUUAGGGAAGAAAAAGGAUCGAUUAAUACCCGUUUCUGCUGACGGUACCUAAAGAAUAAGCACCGGCUAACUACGUG
rnacentral:rRNA from 1 species